rnacentral:rRNA from 1 species
GACGAACGCUGGCGGCGUGCCUAAUACAUGCAAGUAGAACGCUGAAGGAGGAGCUUGCUUCUCUGGAUGAGUUGCGAACGGGUGAGUAACGCGUAGGUAACCUGCCUGGUAGCGGGGGAUAACUAUUGGAAACGAUAGCUAAUACCGCAUAAUAGUAGAUGUUGCAUGACAUUUGCUUAAAAGGUGCAAUUGCAUCACUACCAGAUGGACCUGCGUUGUAUUAGCUAGUUGGUGGGGUAACGGCUCACCAAGGCGACGAUACAUAGCCGACCUGAGAGGGGGAUCGGCCACCAUGGGACUGAGACAAGGCCCAGACUCCUACGGGAGGCAGCAGUAGGGAAUCUUCGGCAAUGGACGGAAGUCUGACCGAGCAACGCCGCGUGAGUGAAGAAGGUUUUCGGAUCGUAAAGCUCUGUUGUAAGAGAAGAACGAGUGUGAGAGUGGAAAGUUCACACUGUGACGGUAUCUUACCAGAAAGGGACGGCUAACUACGUG